rnacentral:rRNA from 1 species
CUAAUGAGCGAUAGGUCAAGAUUCCUGGAAUGGGUUUUGGUCAAAACGGCGUGACAGCAUCUUGUCGUGACCGCCCGAGGAUGGGACUGCGGCCGAUCAGGCUGUUGGUGGGGUAAAGGCCCACCAAACCAGUAACCGGUACGGGCUUUGAGAGAAGGAGCCCGGAGAUGGACACUGAGACAAGGGUCUAGGUCCUACGGGGCGCAGGAGGCGCGAAACCUUCGCAAUGCGCGCAAGCGCGACGAGGUUAUUCCGAGUGAUUUCCGCUGAGGAAAUCUUUUCUUAGAUCUAAAAAGUCUGGGGAAUAAGGGGAGGGCAAGUCUGGAGUCUGCCGCCGCGGAAAUACCACCUCCUCGAGUGGUCAGGGCGUUUUAUUGGGCCUAAAGCAUCCGUACCCUGUUCGGUAGGUCUCCUGGUAAAUCCAAA